GAGCGUACUUUCCCGGAGAAUCUUGGUUCUGGUAGUACUCCUUUAACACCAAAGAUAUAUGUCCCAUCAAAUCCUCGUGGCGCGGAGUCAUUGCCACCAGGGAUUGUGGUCUCAGAAUCAGAUUUUUAUUUACGAAGAUUGUGGGGUGAACCAAGUGAGGAUCUGACAAAAAAGCCCAAGUACUUGGUUACAUUUACAGUUGGUUUGGAUCAA
rnacentral:misc_RNA from 1 species